rnacentral:lncRNA from 1 species
UGAAAUCCAGGUUCGACUCCCGGCUGUGGAACUUACCUUUUAAAUAUUGGAAUUCUUUUUUUAAAAUAAAAUUUUCCAAUUAUCAUUAUUAUUCUGGAUAAUAAAAAAUACUAAUUCAUUUUCUCCACUAUUUUCCCUAUUCUUUUACCUUUAUACUACUUUUCCAUGGUUUUAGGUCUUACAAAAUUAAUGACUUAUUGUUCGAUUGAAAAUGAAAAGUUUCUUUAACAAUUUAUAAUAAUGUUAUUUAUUAUAUCUUUGUUUACUUUUAAACAUUUACGAAUGGUCAUUUGUCCAUACCUAAUUUUUUCACAUUUUAUAAAAUACAUUAAAUGUGAACUUUUAAGUCUUCAAAUAAUAAAGUGUUUUGUUCUUCGGUUAUGCGCAUUGAUUNAGGAAGCUGGUAGAUGUGUGUACCAACUAAACAGUCAUAAUUCAUGGAAAAAUUUGAGAUAUAAGAUAUUGACUAAUAUCACUAUGUUGUGCACACCAUAACAUUUAAAAUAUAAUAUCUGACAAUACAAGUAGACGCUUUACGGAAACACAGUUCCUUGCACACCUCACAAUUCCACUAGAGUUUCACAAGUCACCAUCACACAUAUAGCCUCAUUUCCAUUGAGGGAUCGCAUGGCGAUAACAAAUAUCUCCACCUACAAAAUUUUAUUGUCAAGAUAAAAGAGGUAAGGUAGAAAUGUCGAACAGAAGAUCGUGGUUUGAUGCCACCAGUACGGUCUGAGAAGAUGUCCAUUCUUCGUUGCUCACCACCUUGGUCUUCAAUUGGGAUCUAAUUGAUUAAACAGUCCCAGAAACGACUAGUAGAUUGAUUUUGGACAAAGCUACGGUAAUUUAGAAAUUAAUUCUACCUCUUUCAAUUAGUUUCAUUUAACGUUGUAUUUUUAGUUUCUUUAACCGUUAGAAAUGUAUGGUCAUAUUUUUUUUAUAUAUUUAUUCAAUAAAUCACAUAUAUCUUUUAUCUCAUGGAAAAUAUAUUAUUGAGAAAGGAAAAAUAAAAUCAUUUGCAAAAAUGUUGUCAGUUUGUAUGAAUGCAAAAAUAAGUGAUAUCAUUGAAAACCUUCAAAAUGAUAAAUUUUAGCCCGAUGCAAUGCACUAGUUGGAAACAUAAUUUAAGCAAUUUUCACUAUACCUUCAUUUCAAAGAAUCCGUAGUAGCACACCUGGUUAAUUUCGUGUUUAAAAUUCGGUUCGACUCCCGGCUGCCGAAAUUACCUUUUAAAUAUUGGAAUUCUUUUUUAAAAAAUAAAAUUUUCCAAAAAUCAUUAUUGUUUUGGAUAAUAAAAAAUACUAAUUCAUUUUCUCCACUAUUUUCCUUUUUCUUUUACCUUUAUACUACUUUUCCAUGGUUUUAGGCCUUACAAAAUAUAUGACUUAUUGUUUGACUGAAAAUGCAAAGUUUCUUUAACAAUUUAUAAUAAUGUUAUUUAUUAUAUCUUUGUUUACUUUUAAACAUUUACA